AAGAAAUUACUCUCCAAUAUGAAUAUGUUAAAGGAUGCAAAAUGAUACCUGCUAUUAACAUAUGUGCAUUUACUGCUGGAUUUGAUAAGUUGUGUUUUUUCUUUUACAGGGAAAGGUUAUGGAAGAUACUCUCCACGGACACAUAUAAUUAGGGUCUUGGAGAGGUAGGAAUUUUCAUUUCGUGGGGCACGUUGUCCAUUGGGACUAAAAUGCUACAUCAUCUUCAUAAUGAAGUGUGGCUUUUUGUUGACAUUUGC